rnacentral:rRNA from 1 species
GUUCCGGACACUCCAGCGGAGGCGCAAAAACCGUGCGCAUGGCAUAUCUAGUUCAGCGCACGGGCCGAAACGCCAUCGCGCGCCGCUUAUUUGCUGCGCCCACUCCCGCGCACUGGACUCUCGAGCGCUCACUCGCAACUCCACCUAUCCCAUCCAGCCGCGGCGCCGCCGCCGCCCGCGCCACCAGGCGACCGUUCCGGCGCUUCCCCGGCCUAUCCCCGCGCCGCGACGGCUUCCUCCGCCUCCCUCUUGUCACUGCCGCCCCUCGAGCGCGGCGGUCCUCCGACGAACAGCGCGCGGCCGCUCGCUGCCGCUCGGCGCCCACAAGUUGUUCGACAAAACGCCCGCAAGAUGAGUUCGUCGUAUGAUUCUUCCGAAAAAGAAUUUGAUAUAGAAGAGGAGGAGGAUCUUGCAAUGAUCCUAGCUAUGCACAUCAAUAUAAAACCGAAGCGCGGUGGUUCGGUUAUGGCCGGCAGAAAAUUUGGAGGGAUAGGAUCGAUGCCCACAACAGAUUGAUCGGGCAUUAUUUUGCGGAGAAUCCCACAUACCCCGAGUCGUACUUUCGUCGCCGGUUUAGGAUGAGCACCGAGUUGUUCAGGCGCAUUGCAGAGAAACUAGCGAGCCAUGACCGGUUUUUUCAGCAAUGGAGGAAUGCCGCCGGAGAGCUCGGGCAUAGCACCUUUCAGAGGUGACAGCCGCUUUGCGUAUGUUGGCAUACGGUAUCCCGGCUGAUCUAGUUGAUGAACACUUGGCUAUGGGCGAGAGCCAAACCAUCAUGUGUGUCAAGCGCUUCGCAGUCAGAACUGUCCAAGUGUUUGGCCAGGAGAAUUUGAGAUCUCCCAAUGCUGAAGACGCCGCAAGGCUAUUGGAGAUGAACAAAGCUCGCGGGUUCCCAGGUAUGCUUGGCUCAAUAGAUUGCAUGCAUUGGAGUUGGAAGAAUUCUCCAAAGGCAUGGCAUGGGCAAUUCCACGGCCAAAAAAAAGGGUUCCACUAUAAUCCUUGAAGCGGUGGCCGAUCAAGAGACAUGGAUUUGGCAUGCUUUCUUUGGAAUGCCUGGAUCUUUGAAUGACAUCAAAGUUGUCAAGCGAUCACCACUGAUGAAUAAGAUUGCAAAUGGUGAUUUGCCACUGAUGCAGUUUGUAGCAAAUGGCCGUACAUACAACUAUGGCUAUUAAGUUGCGGAUGGCAUCUACCCAAAGUGGCAAACAUUUGUGAAGCCGUUGAAAAAACCGGAAGGUAAGAAAAAUCUUGACUUCCACAAUGCUCGGGCGGCGGCUAGAAAAGACGUGGAGAGAGCUUUUGGGAUUUUGCAAGCCCAAUUUGCUAUUAUGAGAGGACCGGCUAGAUUUUGGGAUCAAAAGAUGCUUUGGUACAUCCUGCACGCUUGUGUGAUCAUGCACAACAUGAUCAUCGAGAAUGAGCAUGGCCACGAUGUAGACUACUCUCAGUAUGAGCUUUUGCGACAUCCCGUGCGAGUGCGACGGAGGGCUGAAAGGGUGGCCCGUUUUGUUGCCUUCUAUCAUGCCAUUCGACGUCCCGCAGUGCAUGAUGAUCUUCAGAAGGAUCUCAUAGAGGAGUGGUGGGCAUGGAAUGGGCGAUAAAGAGCAUCAUGAUUUGUGCGUUUGAUGCUGUAUUGUUGAACUAUUUGUUGUGUUAUUGAACUAUUUGUUGUAUUGAGAACGAUAAACUAUUUGUUUGAGUUGUAAUAACGAAAUUG